UUUCGGUAGUAAUCAAUAGGCUUAAUGGUUUUUUUGCCAUGCUAAAUAUUUUUUGCACGUCAGUCUGAUCCCAAA
rnacentral:snoRNA from 1 species